rnacentral:lncRNA from 1 species
GCAUCACAACAUAACUCAAACUCAUAUAGAUAAAGGCCCAGCAGAGCCACAUAGCAUUCAAUACAAACAGGGGUCUCAUGACCCAUCAUUCAGAGCAUACAAGCAACGGAAGCAUUACAUGUCUGAGUACAGACAACUACAAAGGGAAAAGACUAGGAAGCCUGACUAUACACGACCCUCCCAAGGGUACAAGAUCGUAGCUGGGAUACAAGCUACUCGUCGAAGUCACUAGUGUAGCCAACUGCAAAACAUAAAUAAGCAAACGUGAGUACAAAGGUACUCAGCAAGUCUUACAUCAGAACUAUCUACAUAUGCAACAUUAUCAACAAAAGGGGGGGUGGUGGAGUUUUAACAGCAGCAAGCCAGCUUUGACUCAGUGGCUAACCUAUACUACGAGUAUCAGAAACUUCUUUGAGGUAAGAAGACGCACACGAGUCCACAUGUUCACCAUAUCAAUACUCCACUAUGGAUCCGUUCCCGUCUUCCUACGAGAAGGCCAUCUAUAGCACUCACGCUUAUCUUGCGUAUUUUAGAGUAUCCACUUCAAGUUGUCUAUGUACUACAUAAGUUCUCCAAGUUUCCAUAUCCGAGGAAAACGGCUAUUCGAAUAGAUAAUGUUGACCCUGCAGGGGUGUACUUCGUCACACACGCUCUCGCCACUUAUAGCCCUGUACACGUCAUGUACCUCGGCAACCUUCAAGCGGAUGCCGGGCGAGGGUGUCGGCCACGACCUGACUAACCACACAAGUCUCUCGUCCAGGUUUAUCGCCUAUUCGGGUUCCAUCCGCAAGGAGAUCCGGCCGGGGUGUCGCUCACGGCCCCAAACAAUCUGUGCAGGGUUCCCAAGCCCACCAUCCGGGUGCCACUUGGUACACCGUGCCACGGUGCCUAGUCUGUCCCAAGCCCGUCCCGUCGGACACCACCUGGUAGAUAAGUAGCACUACCUACAAACGCCAGAAACUAGUUGCAACUCCUGGACAGAGAUCAAGCGGAUUAAUAAGCCGAGAGGGGCCGGAUAACCGGAACCCAAUGUGUGGUAGUAACUGGACUUGGAUAACAUACACAGAACUCAGUGCUUAGGGACGGCUCCAAUGAGACAACCCACCAUGUACUCCUACAUGGCCUCUCAUUGCUACCUUUACCAAAACGUGUUCACACACUUAGCCUUUACCGGUAGGACAUGUUCACCACUCUGAUUCAUUCCCGAUGAAUCAGACCUAACACAACUCUAAGCAUAGCUGGCAUAAAGAAAACAAGCAUGGAUGAGCAGGCACAUCAAGGCUCAAGCAACUCCUACUCAUGCUAGUGGGUUUCAACUAUUUACUGUGGCAAUGACAGGUCAUGCAGAGGAAUGGGUUCAGCUACCGCAGCAGAAAGUAGCAGUUUUGAAUCGUUGUUGUCCUAAUGCAGUAAAAGGAGCAGGAGCGAGAGAGUGGGAUUUAUCGAGAUGCUCAAGGGGGUUUGCUUGCCUGAUAGAUCCACGAAGAAGCACUGCUCCUCAGACAGGUACUCGGGACACCUUCCAGAGUAGAACCUAUCGAGAGGGGACGGUGCCGGCAAUUAAUAAACAACCAUAUGCAACAAUAUGAUGCAUGAAGUUGACAUUUCAAAGAUGCUAUGAUUUGCCCUAAUGCAUCUAGCAUCAAUUUGGUUGAAGUCCAUAUGUACCAAGGGUUCAUAUGCAAACCCCAAGUUAAAUAUAUAACAUGCCAUUAUUACGUUUUCACUUAUAUAGCAAGUAUAAGUUGGUUUUUCAUGCAUGAAACUAGCAUAAAUGGAUUCCUUGCAUUUUUCUGAUGAUUUUUCAUAUAUAAUUUAUUUCAUUCUGAGCUACGGUUUAAUUUCUAUGAUUUUUAAAAGUUUUAACUAUUUUCUGAAAUUCUCUGAAUUAUUUAAAAUCCAGAAAAACAAUUACUACGUCAGCGUGACGUCACAGAGGCGUCAGCAGGGCUGACCAGGUCAAACCUGACGUGUGGGGGCCACACGUCAAUGACACUGGGGUUAACCCUGGGUCAAACCCGCACUGACCAGGGUUGACUUGGCUCUGGGGCCCACUGUCAGCGGCUGGUGGGGUGGCUAAUGGUGGGGAUUAGCGCUAAAUAAGCCGCCACGUCAGCCUCGCCGGAGUUCGGCCGGCGACGACCAAACCGCGUGGCGGUGCUUCGCCGGAAUGGGCUACAGGCGGCGGAAAAGCGCGCGGAGACCACCGGGGCGUAGCCCGUCGUCGUCCGCAUCCAGUGGAGCAUGUGGGAUGAGCUGGGGAGGCCGGAGCUCGCCGGAGCUGAGCUCAGGGCGGCGGCCGGAGUUCGGCCUCGAGCGGGCGCAGUGCUGCGGUGCACGGGAAGGCAAGGGAGAAGGGGGGACCGACGCGAGGCUCACAGUGGACCGGAAGAGCAGCUCAGCGGGCUCGGGGACGCGCUGACGACGGCGAGCGGCGACGGAGAUCCACGGCGGCCGAGAGGUUGAAGACGACGGAAUUGAUGGCGAAGCAGAGCUCCUGGCGAUGUGUGGCUCGACGAUGAGGGCGAAGGCGACGAGGCGAAUCCCUGGGGCACGUCGGGGAGGCGAGAGGGAGGCGGUGGCUGCGGCUAUGGCGAACGGCGGUGACGGGCUCCGUUCGGAAGCGAGCAGAGAAGGCGGGAGGAAUCCAGAGCGAGGGGGAGGGACGCAGGGGUCGAAGGAGGUGCGUGGCGAUGCGAGGGAAGGUCCAGGCGACGGCAGGACAGCCAGGCAGGGUGGAGGUGGCGCGCGGUGGCCGCGCGCGUGCGUCGUGCCCGGCUUCUCCUCUGCCUACUGGCAAGAGGUAGAAGACGGGGCUGCCCCUGGUGGGCUGGGCCGCCAGGUGGGCUGGCCAGCUGGGCUGUAACAGUGUCAGGCCUCAGGUAAGCUUUUCUUUUUUUGUUUUCUUUUCUAUUUCUGACAUUUGUUUUUUUGGUUUAAAAUAAAUACUAGCACAAAAAUAAAAAUGUUGAGAUUCCUUGUGACCACUAGUUAUAAUAUACCAGAGGCCCUCACCAAAUUCCAAUAUUUUUGGAGCCAUUAAAAUAUUUAUAUAAUUUAAACAGCUCCAAAUCAAAUAUUUAUGCAUUGAUUCAAAAAUCCAAAAUGAGUAGCAAAAAUGUGCAUCACUUCUGGUUGUUGUUCCCAACAUUAUCCAAAGAGCAUGAACAUUUUUGAAUAGCAUUUUGGGUUCACUAAAAAUCCAUUUUAAAGUUGAACCUAUUUGAAUCUGCUUUGGUGCUAGGGUUUGAAACAUCCCCAUUUCAAUUUCAUUUAAAAUUUAAACAUGAUGCACAAAGCAAGCCUAGGAUCAUACCAGAACUAGGGAUGUGACAACUCGCCCCCACUCGAAGAAAUCUCGUCCCGAGAUUCAUGAGUUGGCGGAAAGAAAGCGGGGUACUCAAGUCGAAGACGAUCUUCUCGCUCCCAAGUAGCUUCUCUCUCGGAAUGAUGAGACCAUUGAACCUUGAGAAACUUGAUGUUAUGACGUCGAGUGACACGCUCUGCUUGAUCCAGAAUGCGAACAGGAUACUCUCGAUAAGUAAGGUUAUCUUGGAGAUCAAGCGUUUCGUGGUCCACUUCGCGGAUGGGAUCCGAGAAGCAACGCCUGAGUUGAGAGACGUGGAAGACAUCAUGAACUCGAGAAAGAUGUGGGGGUAGUUCCAACUGAUAGGCAACCUCUCCUCGUUUAGCGAGAAUGCGAAAAGGACCGAUGUAACGAGGAGCCAACUUGCCCUUGAUACCGAAACGAUGGGUACCCUUCAAAGGAGUAACCGGAAGGUAAGCCUUGUCGCCAACUUCAUAAGCCACUUCCUUAUGACAGUGGACAUACUGCCUCUUUUGACGAGAUUGGGUUGUUUUCAAAUUCUCACGAAUGAUGCGAACUUGCUCUUCUGCCUGCUGGAUCAUAUCCGGUCCAAAGAAUUGUCUUUCACCAGUUUCUGACCAGUUCAAAGGUGUUCGACAUCUUCGUCCAUACAGAAUUUCGAAGGGUGCUUUCUUAAGACUGGAUUGAUAGCUAUUGUUAUAAGCAAACUCGGCGAAAGGAAGACAUUUCUCCCAAUCCAUACCGAAUGAGAUAACGCAAGCUCUAAGCAUGUCUUCGAGAAUUUGGUUGACCCUUUCCACCUGACCACUUGACUGAGGGUGGAAAGCGGUACUGAAAGAAAGAUGGGUGCCCAUGGCAUUCUGGAAACUUUCCCAGAAAUGAGAGGUGAAAAGACUGCCACGGUCUGAAUUAAUCUCUAGUGGAACACCAUGGAGUGACACUAUUCAGGAGAUAUAUAAGUCAACGAGCUGACUAGCAGUGAUACUCUCUCAAACAGGUAGGAAGUGAGCCACUUUGGAGAGACGAUCAAUAACUACGAAGAUAGCAUUAUUUCCUUUCUUGGUCCUGGGAAAGCCGGUGAUGAAGUCCAUACCAACUUUGUCCCAUUUCCACUCGGGAAUAGCUAAAGGUUGAAGGGUGCCAGCAGGUCUCUGAUGCUCUGCCUUAACGCGACGACAAACGUCACAGUUGGCAAUAAACUAAGCGAUUUCUCUCUUCAUCCUAGUCCACCAGAACCUCUGGCGUAGGUCCUGAUACAUCUUUGUACUACCGGGAUGAAUCAUGAGAGGGGAUUCAUGGGCCUCCUUAAGGAUCAGGUGCUGCAUCUGUUGACAUUUGGGAACCACCAAACGGUUUCCAAAGUAAACAACACCUCGUUCAUCCAUAGAGAAACAGUUGGCAACUCCCUUGGAAAUAUUCUUCUUGAUUCGGGAGAUUCCCGUAUCAUGCUUCUCAGCCUCUAUGAUCUGAUCCGUAAAGGUAGGUUUCGCCACCAAGGUAGAAAGGGAACCAUGAGGAGCUAUGUGAAGGUUAAGCUUACAGAAUUCCUCAUGGAGGGAUGGUUGACAUUGUUGCAACAUGAGGUUGUUGCAAUAGGAUUUACAACUUAAAGCAUCAGCCAUGACACUGGCUUUGCCUGGGGUGUAGGUGAUUCCUAAGUCGUAAUCCGAGAUCAACUCCAACCAACGUCUCUGUCUGAGAUUCAGAUCCGAUUGGGUGAAGAUAUACUUGAGACUCUGAUGGUCAGUGUAGAUUUCGCAACGGUUACCAAGAAGGUAAUGUCGCCAAGUCUUAAGUGCAUAGACUACGGCUGCAAGCUCUAGAUCAUGUGUAGGAUAAUUUUCCUCAUGUGGAUGCAACUGUCGAGAUGCAUAGGCAAUCACAUGACGAUCCUGCAUAAGAAUGCAACCUAGUCCUUGACGCAAAGCGUCGCAAUAGAUAACAAAGUCUUUAGUGAAAUCCGGUGGCACGAGUAUGGGCGCAGAAGUCAGGCGUCUUUUCAGUUCCUGAAAACUGUGCUCACACUAUGGGGUCCAUUCAAACCUUUUAUCUUUCUUGAGAAGCUCCAUGAGGGGUUUGGCCACUUUGGAGAAGUUUUCAACGAAGCGGCGACAAUAACUGGCUAGACCAAGGAAACUCCUAACUUAUUUGACCGAUUCGGGUGGAGUCCAAUCGAGAACGGCUUUGACUCUCUCGGGGUUGACAGCAAUGCCCUUACCAGAGAUCACGUGGCCCAGAUAGGUCACUUCUGGCAACCAAAAUUCACGCUUGAAAAACUUGGCAUAAAGGCGGUGCUCUCUGAGUUUACCUAACACAAGCCUAAGAUGUUCGGCAUGCUCUUCCUCGUUCUUCGAGUAAAUAAGAAUAUCAUCGAGAUAAACCACGACGAACUUAUCUAAGUACUCCAUAAAGAUCGAGUUCAUCAAGCGGGAGAAAGUAGCUGGAGCAUUGGUUAGGCCGAAAGACAUCACGGUGUACUCGUAUUGACCAUAACGAGUGACAAAGGCCAUUUUAGGGAUGUCCCCGUUUCUUGAUCUUGAUUUGGUGGUAGCCUAACCUCAAAUCCAUCUUGGAAAAGAUUGAGGAUCCAGCGAGCUGAUCAUACAGGUCGUUGAUCCUGGGGAGCGGAUACUUGUUCUUUAUCGUGACCAAAUUAACGGGACGAUAAUUUACAACCAUCCGAUCCGUACCAUCCUUCUUCUUGACGAAGAGGACAGGACAAGCCCAAGGAGAAGAAUUGGGACGGAUGAAACCCUUUUGCAAGGACUCAUCAAGUUGUUUCUUAAGCUCGGCUAACUCCAAAGGUGCCAUCUUGUAGGGUCUCCUAUCUCUGUCAGGUGGGACACCUGCUAGUUCUUCUGGAAAAACAUCCGGGAAGUCACGGACUACCGGAAUAUUUUCAAGGUCUGGAAGAGGGCUGGCAUUAAGAGAAUAGAGUUGACGCCUUGCAACUCUAGUGGAGACAGUGACUAUUUUGCCAGAUGGAUAUGUAAGUUGGACAGAUCUGGUGUAACAAUCGAUCUUGGCAUGAUGAGCUGUCAUCCAGUCCAUACCCAAGAUGAUGUUAAUAUCUGAGGACUUGAGAGAUAUCAAAGAAGUAAGGAAUACCAGUCUGUCAACAAGGAUUUCAUUACCAUGGCUUACCUUGGAGGUUUGCCAUUUGAAACCAGGAGUCUGGAUUAUUAGUGGAGUUGGCAUAUCACAAAAUGACAUGUCGUGCAACCGAGCGUAACCUUCGGAUAUGAAGAAGUGGGAUGCUCCAGUAUCGAACAGAACUGAAGCUGGGUGACAAUUGACAAGAAGCGUACCCAGUACGACGCCAGGAUCAUCUUGAACUUCUGAAGCUGAGACAUGGUGCACACAUGCUCGUUCAAUGGAGGCUGGCUUGGUACUGAUCAUCUUGCCUGAUGGCUUUUCACGGCCAACAGACCUCUCAGACUGGGGUGGAGUAAAACUGGACUGAGGGCAGUCACAUGCGUAGUGUCCCGGUUCUCUGCAGGUGAAGCAAGUUCCUGAGGUAGGACGUAGACCUACAUUGGCAAAUGGUCCACUAAUAGGCCUGGGUGGAGCACGUUGCUGAGUUGGGUGAGGCGCCACAUCGGAUGGCCUCGGUGCAUAUUCAGGUGGAAGAGCCGAGUUCGGAAUCCAAAUCCAUCGCUUCUGAGAGCCAGAGCGGGAGGAAGAACCCAGAUCACGGUUGUGCUUACGAGACUCCUCGUAAGUGAGCUGAGCGGUCUCUGCAUUAAUGGCCUUGUUCACAAGAGUCUGAAAAGUAUCACAAUGAUGCAGGUGGAGAUCACGACGCAACUUAGGGUUGAGACCUUUCCGGAACCUAGCCUGCUUCUUAGCGUCCGUGGACACUUCUUCUGUAGCAUAGCGGGCGAGGUUUCCAAACUCUCUACUGUAAGCAUCAAUAGGCAGCUUACCCUGGGUAAAACUACAGAACUCUUCAUUCUUGCGAUCAAUGAGAGCCUGAAGAAUGUAGUGCUCACGAAAAGCCUCGGUGAAAUCCUUCCAGGUAGGAAUCUGACCAGCUGAAAGCAUAGUCUCAUAGUUCUGCCAUCAAAUACUAGUAGGACCUUCCAGGUGAUAGGUAGCAUAGGUGACCUUGUCACCUUCAGCCACGUUCGCAGAAAGCAACUUGUGAGUGAUGCUUCGGAGCCAGUUAUCUGCAUCGAGUGGCUCAAUGGAAUGAUGAAAGGUGGGUGGUUUCAGACCAAUGAAGUCAGUGAUGGAAACCAACUUCUUAUGCUGAUGUGCGGUGUUCUGCUCAAUCUGUGCCAGCAAGCGGUUAGUCUCACGCUUGUUCCUCUCGGACGUUAACAAGAACUCUGUUAUCAAAGGCUGGUCAGGAGGAUCCUCGUCCCUACCAUCUCCGUUAUUCUUGUUAUAAGCAACUGAACCUCGGUUAGCAGACGACAUCCUGGCACAGAAACCAAGGAAACAAGGAUGGAAUUAGCAUCGACAUAGGAACGCGGAAUGUAAUGCAAAAGCAUUGGAAAUUCUUGAAAUCCUGGAACAAUUUCGGCAGCAUAACGACUGUAAAUGCUCAAAAGGCUUUUUGAGACAUUCAUCAAAGGAAUAGCAUAAUCAAUCAAUAUCAUAACAUCAAGUUUUUAGGUCAAACUGAGGACACACGGAAGUAGUAAAACUGUAAGGAGACACAACCCAAUAAUCCUAAGACUUUACGGUUUAGUAACACGUCAUCCUAAGAGAUAGAGGAGAAGCCCAGGCCUUAACCCUCGUAGAAAAGAAGAGGCUAACUCAGAAAGAAUGACAUGAGGUAAAGGAGUAAAAAGAGCCUUACGUUCCCUUCCACAAUCAAUUCCCUUAUAUAACUAAAGCAUUUCUAGACUCAACUUACCAGUUUGGCUUGGUAAUCCUACAGUCAGUCAGGUUCUGAUACCAACACUGUCGGGACCCCGAUCCUAAGUCACACCGAUCUAGCAUGUAACACUUCAUAUCACUUUGCGGCCUCACGCACGGUAUUCCCACGGGUGCCACCUUACUUGGCUCGGGACCGUUUGCACCUUGGCUCACGUCUAUGAUAGUGUCGCUAGCAUCCAUAUGACAGAGAACCCAGACCGACAUGACUAGUCGUGAACCCAAAGCGGCACUAACUUACAGGAACAGGCAUACAUGAAUCAACCACGAGCAUGUCGGUCAACAGCAUAUGAAUUCGGGCUGUAGCACUGGGCUAACAGGACUCCGGGAACCCGGGCUGUAGCAGGCUAGGCAGGACUCCGGAUGUCACCGCGUGACAUUUCCCAAAGGGACAGACACAGGAACGAAGUGAUUCACAUGCCGGCCAGUCAAGUGUUCCGGAGCAAUAGUGCUGGGCUAGCAGGACUCCGGUGAACCGGACUGUAGCGGACUACUAUGUGGCUCCUGGAAGCACAAGACUACAUUUCCCCAUAAGAGAGGCUACCAGAGGUAAACAACUAGGUUGUCGGAUCCCACACAUAGCAAUACACGUUACACGUACGCAUGACAUGCAGGUAUGUGCGGUACAACAUGGCAUCACAACAUAACUCAAACUCAUAUAGAUAAAGGCCCAGUAGAGCCACAUAGCAUUCAAUACAAACAGGGGUCUCAUGACCCAUCAUUCAGAGCAUACAAGCAAUGGAAGCAUUAUAUGUCUGAGUACAGACAACUACAAAAGGAAAAGACUAGGAAGCCUGACUAUACACGACCCUCCCAAGGGUACAAGAUCGUAGCUGGGAUACAAGCUACUCGUCGAAGUCACUAGUGUAACCAACCGCAAAACAUAAAAGCAAACAUGAGUACAAAGGUACUCAGCAAGUCUUACAUCAGAACUAUCUGCAUAUGCAACAUUAUCAACAAGGGGGGGUAGAGUUUUAACAGCAGCAAGCCAGCUUUGACUCAGUGGCUAACCUAUACUAUGAGUAUCAGAAACUUCUUUGAGGUAAGAAGACGCACACGAGUCCACAUGUUCACCAUAUCAAUACUCCACUAUGGAUCCAUUCCCGUCUUCUUACGAGAAGGCCAUCCAUAGCACUCACGCUUAUCUUGCGUAUUUUAGAGUAUCCACUUCAAGUUGUCUAUGUACUACAUAAGUUCUCCAAGUUUUCAUAUCCGAGAAAAACGGCUAUUCGAAUAGAUAAUGUUAACCCUACAGGGGUGUACUUCGUCACACACGCUCUCGCCACUUAUAGCCCUGUACACGUCAUGUACCUCGGCAACCUUCAAGCGGAUGCCGGGCGAGGGUGUCGGCCACGACCUGACUAACCACACAAGUCUCUCGUCCAGGUUUAUCGUCUAUUCGGGUUUCAUCCGCAAGGAGAUCCGGCCAGGGUGUCGCUCACGGCCCCAAACGAUGUGUGUUGGGUUUCCAAGCCCACCAUCCGGGUGCCACUUGGUACACCGUGUCACGGUGGCUAGUCUGUCCUAAGCCCGUCCCGUCGUACACCACCUGAUAGAUAAGUAGCACUACCUACAAACGCCAGAAACUAGUUGCAACUCCUGGACAGAGAUCAAGCGGAUUAAUAAGCCGAGGGGCCGGAUAACCGGAACCCAAUGUGUGGUAGUAACUGGACUUGGAUAACAUACACAGAACUCAGUGCUUAGAGAUGGCUCCAAUAAGACAACCCACCAUGUACUCCUACAUGGCCUCUCAUCGCUACCUUUACCAAAACGUGUCCACACACUUAGCCUUUACCGGUAGGACAUGUUCACCACUCCGAUUCAUUCCCGAUGAAUCAGACUUGACACAACUCUAAGCAUAGCUGGCAUAAAGAAAACAAGCAUGGAUGAGCAGGCACAUCAAGGCUCAAGCAACUCCUACUCAUGCUAAUGGGUUUCAACUAUUUACUGUGGCAAUGACAGGUCAUGCAGAGGAAUGGGUUCAGCUACCGCAGCAGAAAGUAGCAGUUUUGAAUCGUUGUUAUCCUAAUGCAGUAAAAGGAGCAAGAACGAGAGAGUUGGGAUUUAUCGAGAUGCUUAAGGGGGUUUGCUUGCCUGAUAGAUCCACGAAGAAGCACUGCUCCUCAGACAGGUACUCGGGACACCUUCCAGAGUAGAACCUAUCGAGAGGGGACGGUGCCGGCAAUUAAUAAACAACCAUAUGCAACAAUAUGAUGCAUGAAGAUGACAUUUCAAAGAUGUUAUGAUUUGCCCUAAUGCAUCUAGCAUCAAUUUGGUUGAAGUCCAUAUGUACCAAGGGUUCAUAUGCAAACCCCAAGUUAAAUAUAUAACAUGCCAUUGUUACGUUUUCACUUAUAAAGCAAGUAUAAGUUGGUUUUUCAUGCAUGAAACUAGCAUAAAUGGAUUCCUUGCAUUUUUCUGAUGAUUUUUCAUAUAUAAUUUAUUUUAUUCUGAGCUACGAUUUAAUUUCUAUGAUUUUUAGAAGUUUUAACUAUUUUCUAAAAUUCUCUGAAUUAUUUAAAAUCCAGAAAAACAACUACUGCGUCAGCGUGACGUCACGGAGGCGUCAGCAGGGCUGACCAGGUCAAACCUGACGUGUGGGGGCCACAAGUUAGUGACACUGGGGUUAACCCCGGGUCAAACCCGCACUGACCAGGGUUGAUUUGGCUCUGGGGCCCACUGUCAGCGGCUGGUGGGGUGGCUAAUGGUGGGGAUUAGCGCUAAUUAAGCCGCCACGUCAGCCUCGCCGGAGUUCGGCCGGCGACGACCAAACCGCGCGGCGGUGCUUCGCCGGAAUGGGCUACAGGCGGCGGAAAAGCGCGCGAAGACCACCGGGGCGUAGCCCGUCGUCGUCCGCAUCCAGUGGAGCAUGUGGGAUGAGCUGGGGAGGCCGGAGCUCGCCGGAGCGGAGCUCAGGGCGGCGGCCGGAGUUCGGCCUCGAGCGGGCGCAGUGCUGCGGUGCACGGGAAGGCAGGGGAGAAGGGGGGACCGACGCGAGGCUCGCAGUGGACCGAAAGAGCAGCUCAGCGGGCUCGAGAACGCGCUGACGGCGGCGAGCGGCGACGGAGAUCCACGGCGGCCGAGAGGUUGAAGAUGACGGAAUUGAUAGCGAAGCAGAGCUCCUGGCGAUGUGUGGCUCGACGAUGAGGGCGAAGGCGACGAGGCAAAUCCCUGGGGCACGUCGGGGAGGCGAGAGGGAGGCGGUGGCUGCGGCUAUGGCGAACGGCAGUGACGGGCUCCGUUCGGAAGCGAGCAGAGAAGGAAGGAGGAAUCCAGAGCGAGGGGGGAGGGACGCAGGGGUCGAAGGAGGUGCGUGGCGAAGCGAGGGAAGGUCCAGGCGACGGGAGGACAGCCAGGCAGGGUGGAGGUGGCGCGCGGUGGCCGCGCGCGUGCGUCGUGUCCGGCUUCUCCUCUGCCUACUGGCAAGAGGUAGAAGACGGAGCUGCCCCUGAUGGGCUGGGCCGCCAGGUGGGCUGGCCAGCUGGGCUGUAACAGUGCCAGGCCUCAGGUAAGCUUUUCUUUUUUUUGUUUUCUUUUCUAUUUCUGACAUUUGUUUUUUUUUGUUUAAAAUAAAUACGAGCACAAAAAUAAAAAUGUUGAGAUUCCUUGUGACCACUAGUUAUAAUAUACCAGAGGCCCUCACCAAAUUCCAACAUUUUUGGAGCCAUUAAAAUAUUUAUAUAAUUUAAACAGCUCCAAAUCAAAUAUUUAUGCAUUGAUUCAAAAAUCUAAAAUGAGUAGCAAAAAUGUGCAUCACUUCUGGUUGUUGUUCCCAACAUUAUCCAAAGAGCAUGAACAUUUUUGAAUAGCAUUUUGGGUUCAUUGAAAAUCCAUUUUAAAGUUGAAUCUAUUUGAAUCUGCUUUGGUGCUAAGGUUUGAAACAUCUCCAUUUUAAUUUCAUUUGAAAUUUAAACAUGAUGCACAAAGCAAGCGUAGGAUCAUACCAGAACUAGGGAUGUGACACCUUCAAUCUCAAUAAUAAUCUUAUAGGAAUCCUUCUUCAAUCACCAUCAACGUGGAUAUCCCUGUAGGUCAACUAUCAAUUUAAGAUUCUGAACAUACUAGCUUAGGCAAAAUGUGCACGAGCUACUGAAGAAACUGAAGAUUGUUGGCAAACAACAUAAGGCAGUAAAGGUUGUUCUUGAACUUCUCAGUUUUUUUUAUUCUGAACUUGCGAUUUAUUUACUUUUUGCAGGGUGCAGUGCCACUGCGGGUGCUGGGAGGCCAGGCUUCGCUCCCUUAGGUAGCUGCGUCCUCCACUGCUUAGGACAGCAAGCAGGGGAGGAAGGAGGGACGGACCUGAAGCAAGCACUAGUAAGUUUUUGAAUAUAGUGGACAUCCUACUUAUAUGCUCAGGAAAAAAAAGCACAUCAGACUAUGUACGUCACAGUGCAAAGCAAAGGAAAAUCAAAGUGAACACUUAGUUACAAAAGUUUCCUUACAAGCAUUAAGGCCAAAGCGAGGAAAUAGCUACAGAAUCACGUAGCAAAAGGGCAAAACACACGGGAACAUACGCAUUUUACAUUGACCUUUUGUAUGUUCACUAUGUGCAAAAAGAACAGAAAAAAUAAAGUAAGUUCUCAUAAGCAUAAAACAAACAGGUAGAGGGCACACUAUCAAUUGGGGAAUUUUCUGAAUCUUCUGUACACAUUCUUGAACAAAGAAUGAAUUACUGAUUUUUAUAGUACAAACUUCUGAAUCUUAUUCUGGCACAUUAGCACCUAUACAUACUUGAGAUUUAGGAGAGAAUGAACGAGUUGAACAAAGAAUUAAUUUUCACGUACAAAUUUCCAUAUCUCCUGUAUAUACUUGAACAAACAAGACAGCAAAAAGACAGAGAGCAUAACACCAGCAUUUAUAUGUGAGAUUUAGGAAAAUGAACUAGAAAAAGACAGAGGCAGAUUACGGACGCGGUGACAGAGGGCUGCUGGAUGGCAUAUAAGGCGGAAGAGAAUGUGAGGCAGAUUACGGACGCGGUGACAGAGGGCUGCUGGCUUGUUUGUUCAAGUAUAUGCAGCAUUUAUAAAGAUUUUUGAGGUACCCUUUUUAUUUGAACUUCUUGCUCAAAUUUUUGACCUUCCAAAUUUGACUUUUAGAUAUUAAAAACUUCAUUUUUUUAACAUCGACCUACUUGUGUUUAGCACAGGCACAAGUUUUAUUUCUCUUAGUAAUACAAAAUUCCUAGUUUGGGAAUAAAAAUCCUAGUUUUUUAUUAAAUAUCGAGCCGUUUCGUUUUUUAGAUUUGAAACUUCUUGGUUUUUUUGAGCGGAGAAUAUCCUUUUUUAACAAAUUUGUGUUGAGAUGCUUUUUUUUAGUUUGACCUUCUUGGGAUUGUAAUAAACGUUUCACUUCUUCUGUUUUUUAAUUUGAACCUCUAGGUUUUUUCUAGAAACAACGAAAAUCCAGUUUUUAUAUAAAUUUUGUAACUCCUUUGGUUUUUUAAUUCAAACUUCUUGGUUUUUUAUUUAUCAAUGGAGAGAAAUCCUAGUGAUGUAAUAAACGUCUAACUAUCCUGUUAUUUAAAUUUGAACUUCUAGGUUUUUUUAGAUACAAGGAAAGUCUAUUAUCUUUUUUGAACGAUAAUCUGUACAUACAAAAAUCCCAAAAAGAUAAGUUGCAACGAAUGAAAACCAACACAUAAGUUUUAUUGCAUAGACAAAAUACAUUCUCACAUGAACAUAUAAUCGAUUCAUGGUUCCCAUAUUUUCAGUGCCAUUCUUUCUUGUACACUUUCAGAACUUUUUGUUGGUGGAAUACAAUAACUAGCGCCAUAAUAUAUCCCCUUGAACCUCUGUCGUAUAUAUAUCUGAACUUCAUCCAUGUUUCAUGUUUUUGUGCUCUUUGUUCUUUGUCACACAACACCAAAAAAGCUUUUCACUAAAUGUAGGAUUCAGUAAAAACGUAGCGUUGUUUCCUGAACAUACUUCACUAAAAAAUUCAGGAUACAAAUGUAGGAUUCAAUAUAUGUAGUUACAAAGAUCCAUUUUUGUUUGCUAAAAUCCGUAGUUGGCAGUCAGGCAGGUCAAACAACACUUUCUGUCAUUGAAGAAGGUCGACGCGACCUCCCGAGAAGUUCAAUUAAAACCAAGAUUGCAAUGGCAGACCAUGGACAUGGGAAUUUGUUUUCGAUGAAGCGGCAGGCUAUGGCGAGCUCGGUGGCCGGGAACACAGUGGCCAAUGCAUCAGGGGUAUAUGAGCUUUAAGGCCAUCCAACUUUUUUGGUCAAUGCAUCAGGGAUGCUCUGUGCGUGCAUCUCCUCAAUACUGUACUGCUGUCAGUCAUCUCCCGAAGAUGCACACACAGAUAUGGUGGCCCUCUUUAUCUUGUACUACUACGAAAAUUGAGAUUGCUGCUGCUACUACAGUGGAAGUAUAUCACCACUGAUGUGCUAUUUUUGAGUCGGCAUGGAGGCUUGCCAUCAACCCAAUCAUCGAAUGCAUAUGGUAAUUAAGGGCGAUUGACAUGCAGAGCAGUACAGGAGCAUUUGAUACUACAUACUGUGAUUUAGAGAAUGCUAUGACUAUUGAUGGUUGGAAAAGUACUGUCUCCGAGUGAAUAAUAAUCUUACUAACCAGUUCAGUCUGCAGCAUCACCACAGACGCAGGCAUCCCACAUGCAUCUCAACAAACACCACACAACGACCAAAGCAUGGAACACGCGCGUGUGGCCGAAGACAUGGGGUGUGCUCCCGUCCCCGCUGAGUUCGCCAGCCGCCGUUCCGUCCCGAGCUCUCCCCCACUCCAUCUCCAUCCAUGCAGUGAGUGCGCGCGAUGAAAUUAGCCGGCACCAUCGCGAGGUGGAAAACACCGGCCAUGGCUGCUGUUGAGCAGCAGGAGGGGCCGCUGUGAGGUCCGACCACAGGAGCGUCUUGGCGGCGGAGUUCCAGCACGGGAGGCUGGGGGCAGUGGGCCGGCGGCUGGAGGUGCUCUGUGUGGCAGGGCUCCGGCAGCUGCAGGAGGGAAGAAGGUUGCGGUGGC